rnacentral:rRNA from 1 species
GACGAACGCUGGCGGCGUGCUUAACACAUGCAAGUCGAACGGAAAGGCCCUGCUUUUGUGGGGUGCUCGAGUGGCGAACGGGUGAGUAACACGUGAGUAACCUGCCCUUGACUUUGGGAUAACUUCAGGAAACUGGGGCUAAUACCGGAUAGGAGCUCCUGCUUCAUGGUGUGUGUUGGAAAGUUUCUGCGUUUGGGGAUGGACUCGCGGCUUAUCAGCUUGUUGGUGGGGUAGUGGCUUACCAAGGCUUUGACGGGUAGCCGGCCUGAGAGGGUGACCGGCCACAUUGGGACUGAGAUACGGCCCAGACUCCUACGGGAGGCAGCAGUGGGGAAUAUUGCACAAUGGGCGGAAGCCUGAUGCAGCAACGCCGCGUGCGGGAUGACGGCCUUCGGGUUGUAAACCGCUUUCGCCUGUGACGAAGCGUGAGUGACGGUAAUGGGUAAAGAAGCACCGGCUAACUACGUG